CCUACGGGUGGCAGCAGUGAGGAAUAUUGGUCAAUGGACGAGAGUCUGAACCAGCCAAGUAGCGUGAAGGAUGACUGCCCUAUGGGUUGUAAACUUCUUUUAUAUGGGAAUAAAACGUUCCACGUGUGGGAUUUUGUAUGUACCAUAUGAAUAAGGAUCGGCUAACUCCGUGCCAGCAGCCGAGGUAAUACGGAGGAUCCGAGCGUUAUCCGGAUUUAUUGGGUUUAAAGGGAGCGUAGGUGGAUUGUUAAGUCAGUUGUGAAAGUUUGCGGCUCAACCGUAAAAUUGCAGUUGAAACUGGCAGUCUGGAGUACAGUAGAGGUGGGCGGAAUUCGUGGUGUAGCGGUGAAAUGCUUAGAUAUCACGAAGAACCACGAUUGCGAAGGCAGCUCACUGGACUGCAACUGACACUGAGGCUCGAAAGUGUGGGUAUCAAACAGGAUUAGAUACCCCUGUAGUC
rnacentral:rRNA from 1 species